rnacentral:piRNA from 1 species
UGAUUUACGACGACGGCGCUUCGAGGC